CAAGACCCUCUCCAAAUCAAACCACACCUGCAUGCAACAAAAGCAAGCCCAAAAGAAAAAUACACAACCUCACCGUAAGGAAGGGAGGGAGACUCACGUUUCUGGCAAGAGGAAAGAGAGCCGCCCCCUACCCAUAGGGGUGAAAAUCCAGUAGAUACGAGACCUUUGAGUCUCAGAAGAAAACCACACCCAGAGAAAGUCUCUCUCUCUAUAGCAAUUACCAAUUGACAACUUUAAUUGGG
rnacentral:misc_RNA from 1 species